CUUUAGGGCUGUACCCAUGGCAUAUGGAGUUUCCCAGGCUAGGAGUCUAAUAGGAGCUACAGCUGCUGGCCUACACCACAGCCACAGUGAUGCAGGAUCCAAGCCGAGUCUGCAACCCACACCCCAGCUCAUGGCAAUGCUGGAUCCUUAACCCACUGAACGAGGCCAGUGAUUGAAUCUGCAUCCUCAUGGAUACUAGUCAGAUUUGUUUCCACUGAACCACGAUGGGAACUCCCUCCAUUUUUUUUUUUUAAUUAAAAAAAAUCUGGGAGUUCCCGUCAUAGUGCAGCAGAAACUAAUCCGACUAGGAACCAUGAGGUUUUGGGUUCAAUCCUGGCCUCACUCAGUGGGUUAAGAAUCCAUCAUUGCCGUGAGCGGUGGUGUACAUCGCAGACACGACUCAGAUCUGGCCAGCUCUGAUUUGACCCCUAGCCUGGGACCUUCCAUGUGCUGCGUGUGUGGCCCUAAAAAGAAAGAAAGAAAAAAAAAACCCUCACUUUUCCUGAAGAAAAGUCUUUUUGCAUUUACGUUUUUUUUUUAGGCAUGGUUGAUUUACAAUGUUGUGCCAAUUUCUGAAGUAUAGCAAAAUGACCCAGUCAUACAUUUAUAUGCAUUCUCUUUCUUAAUGUAUAUUAAGUUCUAUCACAGUCUAUCCCUAGAAACUGGCUGUAGUUCCUUUUAUCAUUGCUUUAACAGAGUAUCUCAAAUUUUUACGGGCCUGACAAUUCCAUGAUAUCCUAUUUUCAUCUAAGAAAAAUUUGAAAACUCCCUGGUAUCAUUUAUCUGUACAUGUUUCUAAAAUUAUUAAAUACGUUUUGGAUUAAUGGCUACACAUUACAACAUAUGAAACAUGAAAAUCUUUAAGAGCAACUAGUGCCAAAUUUAAUGGUUCUUGUUAAUGUUACUUUCUACCCUUUAGGUUCAAUAAAGUCAUUUUCACUCUGAUUGACAAAAUUUCCCAUAAUCCUCUAGAAUUUUUCAAGAUACAAGGCCUCAAGCCUCUCUCUCCCUCUUUUCUUGGAAAAGAUCUGUCCAGUCCUCUUUAGCGGCCGUGCAAGCAGAUCAAGGGAGGAGUUCCUGUUGUGGCUCAGUGGAAAUGAAUCUGACUAGCAUCCAUGAGGAUGAAGGUUCAAUCCCUGGCCUUGCUCAGUGGGUUAAGGAUCCGGUGUUGCCAUGAGCUGUGGCUGUGGCUGGGGAUGGGGCUCAGAUCUGGCAUCGCUGGGGCUGUGGCUGUGGCGUAGGCCGGCGGUUGCCAGCAGUUGCAGCUACAAUUCCACCCCUAGCCUGGGAACUUCUAUAUGCCACAGGUGCAGCCCUAAAAAAGCAAAAGAUUAAAAAAAAAAUCAAGGAAGUCACCAGGAGUUACUGCUAGAACCACCAAACAGCAAAUAAAGGCAAGCAAAGAGAUAUUGCUGUAUUUCCAGUCUAUUUGAGAGACAAAGUCAUUCAACUCAGGCAACGAGUUUUCCUUGAAGAAUGUCCAGACCCAAGGAAGAGGAAGGUGACAGGGGGAGAAGGGGUUCUUAAAGCCUAUACAUUUCACUAGUGUUUUAUACAAGAUUACUGUGUCAUCAGAUCAAGUAAGGGGCAGACCACAGACUUAGGGCAGGAGGUCUGAUAAGUAAGGGGAGAAUACUGUCUUUCUGUUGCUUGAAAAUCUUAAAUGCAGGAGAACUUGAGCACAAGAACUGCAGCUAUCAGAACAGUUUCUGCACAACCUGUAGCCAGUUUAUAUUUUCCAUAUGCCCAGGUAUAAUGUUCUACUAUUAUCUGAAAAUUCUACGUGAUAUGGCCAAUGAAAGCGUUAUUCCAUGUUAAGUUUCUGCAGACUCUUUAUAAUUCAGCAUAUAAUGAACAUCAUGAACAAAGAUGUCCCAAACCUGGACACAAAAUCUUUUCAAUCUUUUGCUGACAUGUAUUUCAUUUGCGUUUGUGAGUCUACGGAUCUACACUCCUGGAGCAAUGCGUACCGUUAAACUUGAAAUGACAUCUUUGCUCAUUUGAGUGAAUACAACUCAAAUAUAAUACUUGCUAUUUGAAAAGAAAAUUCUUGUUACUUUUCUUUGAAUAUCAUCACUGACUCUGGCUUUUUGUGACAACAUAUUUUUAAUUAACUAUAAGUUUUUGUGUUAUUUUUAUUUUUUAUAUUCCAUUUGUUGCAAUUGAGCCAGUAGGUCCUCCAUUAAGCUGGUCUCUGUCUCUUUCUCCAGAGAGAUGAUUACUUUCUGGCAAUAAAUGUUCCAACUCGGUUUAGAAUAUCACCCCAAGAAUGGAAUUAGCAUCUCUCCAAGGAGACCUGCUUUCAUUUAGUGGAGAAAAAAUAGUUCUGGUUUGUCUGCUAUAAUGUGAAAUGUGCUUUACUGAAAAACCUCACAUUCUACAAAAUCACCUAUUACAAGCCAUGGGAUGAAUAAAGUUGGGGAGACGGCUCAACAGAUGGGUAAUCUUGUAACCAAAGCACGAUGAAAAACAAAUACUGGUACCUUGGAAAUCACCUUGGUUGACCCAAGCAGGCAGCCAGACAUGGCUAGAGGCUCCAACAGCAGACAUUAAAAAUUCACAUAAACAUUGGGUGGAAAUGUGGCCACAGUCUAGUUAGAGCAGAGCUAGGGGCUCUGGGACAAUCUGGGCAAAACCAGUUCUGAGCCAGGAACUUCCCAGACACAGGAGCCAAAAGUGGCACAAGGCUUGGAUGCUCCUCUCUGGGCCUCCCCAGAGAGCCUAUGCAGGUGCUCGCUUUCCGUUUUUGCAAAGCAGAGCAAGAGGAAGCCUACUCCCAGUACAGCAGCAAGCUGUGGGAUUGUUUUCUUUCCUGCUGAAGUUCUAUAAUUCUACCCCUGCUUGCCUGGUUCCCCAGGCCUAGAGAAAAACUGAUAUGAUCAAACUUGACUUCUAGGUUAGACUGAUAUCAUUCUCGAAUCACACACUAUCUAAUUCCAAUGCUAGAAUCAUGCUUUGUGAAACCACCGGUUUCUUCCCUCUUUGUACAAGCAGGGUACCUUGAGAGGUGGAGGCUAUUCUCCCCCCUCCUCAGAUCUGAGCUGUCUUGGGACUGCUUUAACCAAGAGGGGACAGCAGGAGUGACACCAAAGGACUUCUGGGAUCAUCAUAAGAACUUUUGCAGCUUCCACCUGGAAUGCUUGCUCUAGACAAAGCUAGCCCCCAUGUAGGAAGUCUGAUUACCCUAAGGUAACCAUGCUGUAAGGAAGCCCAAGCUAGCCACAUGGAGAAGGCCCAUGGAGAGAUGCCCAGCCAGCUCCCCUUUGGUCCAGACAUCCCUUCCUGGAUGCUGAACAUAUAAAGAUCAUGAUUUCAGAAGUUCCCAUUGUGGCGCAGUGGAAACAAAUCUGACUAGUAUCCAUGAGGAUGUGGGUCCGAUCCUCAGUGGGUUGGGGAUCUGACAUUACCAUGAGUGCUGUGUAGGUCGCAGAUGAGGCUUAGAUCCCUUGUUGCUGUGGCUGUGGCAUAGGCCAGCAGCUGCAGCUCUGAUUGGACCCCUAGUUUGGGAACUUCCAUGUGCUGCAGGUACAGCCCUAAAAAGAGAAAAAAAAAAAAAAGACCUUGACUUCAGCCACAACCACCACCUGACUGCAACCUAUAAAACCCAAAGCAGGAGUUCCCGUUGUGGCGCAGUGGUUAACGAAUCCGACUAGGAACCAUGAGGUUGCGGGUUCGGUCCCUGCCCUUGCUCAGGGGGUUAAGGAUCUGGCGUUGCCGUGAGCUGUGGUGUAGGUCGCAGACGCGGCUCGGAUCCCGCGUUGCUGUGGCUCUGGCGUAGGCCGGUGGCUACAGCUCCAAUUCGACCCCUAGCCUGGGAACCUCCAUAUGCCGCGGGAGCGGCCCAAGAAAUAGCAACAACAACAACAACAACAACAAAAAACCCAAAGCAAGAACAAUUCAACCCAACUCAUCAACCUCCAGAACUGUGAGGCAUAAUAGUAGAUUGUCCUUUUAGACUACUAAGUUUUAGGAUGCUCUGUGAUGCAUAGUUAACCAGAACAGAGAGGAAUAUACUGAACUAACAUAUAAAAAUUAGGCAUGGGGAUGGAGAAUAGAUUAUCUGUCGAGUGUAGUGGGUAACUGUAGCCAGGCUAUUCAGGGGCACAGCUAGAAAGGAUCUCCUUUGUAUACAUAAGUUCACACUAACACUUUUCUUUUUUUUUUCCGGCCGCCAUAUGCAGCGCACUUGCUGAGCUGUAGAAUUAUUUAUAACUUAAAAACAAAUAAUAUAACUACUUAUUUGCCUUAGCCUUCCACACAAAAUACAUCCAAAGUAAAAAUGAUACUCUUCACACAGAUAAUAAGACCCCUGGGUGAAUAAUAAGAUUUAACAUUGCAGUGGUUGGCAGCCAUAUUUGGAACUAUCCCAUUACUGAUUGCUACUCAAAUUGCUUUGUUUUGAUGUAUUGGAGCUGAAACGUAAACAAAACUUCCCCAUUGUGGUUAGGUUUUGAGAUCAUGAAAAGUCUUAUUUUUACAAUGCUACUGUUUCAAACACCAGAAAUUAUAAUGUACUUUCUAAAGUAUCAGUAGAGCCAGGAACAGCUUUUAGUAGAGAAAGGAGAAAAUACAACUUGUUUUAAAUGUACUUACAUUUGAGUUCCCGUCUGUGGCUCAGUGGUUAACGAAUCCGACUAGGAACUACAAGGUUGCGGGUUCGAUCCCUGGCCUUGCUCAGUGGGUUAACAAUCCGGCGUUGCCGUGAGCCAUGGUGUAGGUCACAGACAUGGCUCGGAUCUGGCAUUGCUGUGGCUCUGGCUUAGGCCAGCGGCUACAGCUCCAAUUGGA
rnacentral:lncRNA from 1 species